rnacentral:rRNA from 1 species
UACUGCUAUCGAGGUUCGACUAAGCCAUGCGAGUCGAAUGUAGCAAUACAUGGCGAACUGCUCAGUAACACGUGGACAACCUGCCCUUAGGUUGGGUAUAAACCCGGGAAACUGGGUAUAAUACCCGAUAGGUCUCGAUUGCUGGAAUGCAUCGAGAUUUAAAGCUCCGGCGCCUAAGGAUGGGUCUGCGGCCUAUCAGGUAGUAGUGGGUGUAGCGUACCUACUAGCCUACGACGGGUACGGGUUGUGAGAGCAAGAGCCCGGAGAUGGAUUCUGAGACACGAAUCCAGGCCCUACGGGGUGCAGCAGGCGCGAAAACUUUACAAUGCUGGCAACAGCGAUAAGGGAACCUCGAGUGCCAGGUUACAAAUCUGGCUGUCGAGAUGCCUAAAAAGCAUUUCAUAGCAAGGGCCGGGCAAGACCGGUGCCAGCCGCCGCGGUAACACCGGCGGCUCGAGUGGUAACCGUUAUUAUUGGGUCUAAAGGGUCUGUAGCCGGCCGGAUAAGUCUCUUGAGAAAUCUGGCAGCUUAACUGUCAGGCUUUCAGGAGAUACUGUCUGGCUCGAGGCCGGGAGAGGUGAGAGGUACUUCAGGGGUAGGGGUGAAAUCUUGUAAUCCUUGAAGGACCACCAGUGGCGAAGGCGUCUCACCAGAACGGACCUGACGGCAAGGGACGAAAGCUAGGGGCACGAACCGGAUUAGAUACCCGGGUAGUCCUAGCCGUAAACGAUACUCGCUAGGUGUCGGCCACGGUGCGACCGU